rnacentral:pre_miRNA from 1 species
AGCCUUCUGAAUCCGUACCGAGAUUUCGUCAGAAAUCGAAGCAUCAGCACUGAUGAGACUCCUAAGAUAAGUAAAGUG